rnacentral:rRNA from 1 species
GGGACAACAGUUGGAAACGACUGCUAAUACCGCAUAAGCGCACAGCUUCGCAUGAAGCAGUGUGAAAAACUCCGGUGGUACAGGAUGGACCCGCGUCUGAUUAGAUAGUUGGUGAGAUAACGGCCCACCAAGUCAACGAUCAGUAGCCGGCCUGAGAGGGCGAACGGCCACAUUGGGACUGAGACACGGCCCAAACUCCUACGGGAGGCAGCAGUGGGGAAUAUUGCACAAUGGGGGAAACCCUGAUGCAGCGACGCCGCGUGAGUGAAGAAGUAUUUCGGUAUGUAAAGCUCUAUCAGCAGGGAAGAAAACAAUGACGGUACCUGACUAAGAAGCCCCGGCUAACUACGUGCCAGCAGCCGCGGUAAUACGUAGGGGGCAAGCGUUAUCCGGAUUUACUGGGUGUAAAGGGAGCGUAGACGGUAGACCAAGUCUGAAGUGAAAGCCCGGGGCUCAACCCCGGAACUGCUUUGGAAACUGGUAAACUAGAGUGCAGGAGAGGUAAGUGGAAUUCCUAGUGUAGCGGUGAAAUGCGUAGAUAUUAGGAGGAACACCAGUGGCGAAGGCGGCUUACUGGACUGUAACUGACGUUGAGGCUCGAAAGCGUGGGGAGCAAACAGGAUUAGAUACCCUGGUAGUCCACGCCGUAA